rnacentral:rRNA from 1 species
UACAGAGACUGCAAGCGUUAUUCGGAUUCACUGGGCGUAAAGGGUGCGCAGGCGGCCGAGUGUGUUAGAUGUGAAAUCCCGGGGCUCAACCCCGGAACUGCGUCUAAAACUACUUGGCUAGAGUAUUGGAGAGGGUAUCGGAAUUCACGGUGUAGCGGUGAAAUGCGUAGAUAUCUGGAGGAACACCGGUGGCGAAGGCGGCAUCCUGGACCAACACUGACACUGAGGAGCGAAAGCCAGGGGAGCAAACGGG